rnacentral:rRNA from 1 species
UGGGGGAUAUUAGGCAAUGGGGGAAACCCUGACCUAGCGACGCCGCGUGAGGGAAGAAGGUUUUCGGAUUGUAAACCUCUGUCUUCGGGGAAGAAUAAAUGACGGUACCCGAGGAGGAAGCCACGGCUAACUACGUGCCAGCAGCCGCGGUAAUACGUAGGUGGCAAGCGUUGUCCGGAAUUACUGGGUGUAAAGGGAGCGUAGGCGGGGGAAUAAGUUGCAUGUGAAAUCGAUCGGCUCAACUGAUCGCUGCGUGCAAAACUGUUUCUCUUGAGUGGAGUAGAGGCAAGCGGAAUUCCUAGUGUAGCGGUGAAAUGCGUAGAUAUUAGGAGGAACACCAGUGGCGAAGGCGGCUUGCUGGGCUUUUACUGACGCUGAGGCUCGAAAGCAUGGGUAGCAAACA